rnacentral:rRNA from 1 species
GUUCUGAGAGGAAGGUCCCCCACACUGGUACUGAGACACGGACCAGACUCCUACGGGAGGCAGCAGUGAGGAAUAUUGGUCAAUGGCCGCAGGGCUGAACCAGCCAAGUCGCGUGAGGGAUGACGGUCCUAUGGAUUGUAAACCUCUUUUGUCAGGGAGCAAAGGGCGCCACGUGUGGCGUUUUGCGAGUACCUGAAGAAAAAGCAUCGGCUAACUCCGUGCCAGCAGCCGCGGUAAUACGGAGGAUGCGAGCGUUAUCCGGAUUUAUUGGGUUUAAAGGGUGCGCAGGCGGAAUGUCAAGUCAGCGGUAAAAUUUCGGGGCUCAACCCCGUCGUGCCGUUGAAACUGGCGUUCUUGAGUGAGCGAGAAGUAUGCGGAAUGCGUGGUGUAGCGGUGAAAUGCAUAGAUAUCACGCAGAACUCCGAUUGCGAAGGCAGCAUACCGGCGCUCAACUGACGCUCAUGCACGAAAGCGUGGGUAUCGAACAGGAUUAGAUACCCUGGUAGUCCACGCAGUAAACGAUGAAUACUAACUGUCCGGGCCGAUUGAGGUCUGG